rnacentral:lncRNA from 1 species
AUGACUAAAAUAAAAAAGUUAUUUUUAUAAAAAUAAUUUUUUAAUUCGAUUGUUUGGUUGAGUAUAAAGUGAAAGAUAAAAAAACUAUAGUUUUGAAAUUUUAUAUUUUAAUUAUAUAUAAAGACGUUAAAAUAUAAAUAAACGAUUUAUAUUUGUCAUUUAAAUUAAUAAUUUCAAUUUAAAUUUACAUUUAGAAUUCAAAAUUUUAUUUUAAAAUUUAAAUUUAAAUUGAAAUCUGAGUUGAAUUUAUAAUUAAAAUUUAAGACAUAAAUUAAAUUUAGAGGUUGAAUUUAAAUUUUAAU